rnacentral:rRNA from 1 species
GACGAACGCUGGCGGCGUGCCUAAUACAUGCAAGUUGAGCGCUGAAGGUUGGUACUUGUACCAACUGGAUGAGCAGCGAACGGGUGAGUAACGCGUGGGGAAUCUGCCUUUGAGCGGGGGACAACAUUUGGAAACGAAUGCUAAUACCGCAUAAAAACUUUAAACACAAGUUUUAAGUUUGAAAGAUGCAACUGCAUCACUCAAGGAUGAUCCCGCGUUGUAUUAGCUAGUUGGUGAGGUAAAGGCUCACCAAGGCGUUGAUACAUAGCCGACCUGAGAGGGUGUUCGCCCACAUGGGGACUGGAACACGCCCAAAACUCCUACGGGGGGCGCCAGUAGGGAAUCUCCGCAAUUGGACAAAGUUCGACCGAGCAACGCCGCGUGAGUGAAGAAGGUUUUCGGAUCGUAAAACUCUGUUGGUAGAGAAGAACGUUGGUGAGAGUGGAAAGCUCAUCAAGUGACGGUAACUACCCAGAAAGGGACGGCUAACUACGUG